UUGGUGUAGCAAGUAAUUGCUUGAAAAAGAGGAAAGUCCGAGCUACAAGAGAUAGGAUUCCAUUUAACAAAUGGCUAGGGUAACCUAAGGGAAAGUGCAACAGAAAUAUACCGCCAUGUUUUCAUGGUAAGGGUGAAAAGGCAGGGUAAGAGCCUACCGAUUUCUUGGUAACAAGAAAUGCCAUGUAAACCCAAUCCGUAGCAAGAAUAGCAGGUUAAUAUCUCUGUUUUUAGCUAUUCGCUUGAAUAAUAUUGCGAAAUAUUAUCUAGAUAAAUAAUUACUAAAUACAGAACUCGGCUUAUAGCUACACCAUAUUU
rnacentral:RNase_P_RNA from 1 species